rnacentral:rRNA from 1 species
GACGAACGCUGGCGGCGUGCUUAACACAUGCAAGUCGAACGGAAAGGCCCUGCUUUUGUGGGGUGCUCGAGUGGCGAACGGGUGAGUAACACGUGAGUAACCUGCCCUUGACUUUGGGAUAACUUCAGGAAACUGGGGCUAAUACCGGAUAGGAGCUCCUGCUGCAUGGUGGGGGUUGGAAAGUUUCGGCGGUUGGGGAUGGACUCGCGGCUUAUCAGCUUGUUGGUGGGGUAGUGGCUUACCAAGGCUUUGACGGGUAGCCGGCCUGAGAGGGUGACCGGCCACAUUGGGACUGAGAUACGGCCCAGACUCCUACGGGAGGCAGCAGUGGGGAAUAUUGCACAAUGGGCGGAAGCCUGAUGCAGCAACGCCGCGUGCGGGAUGACGGCCUUCGGGUUGUAAGCCGCUUUCGCCUGUGACGAAGCGUGAGUGACGGUAAUGGGUAAAGAAGCACCGGCUAACUACGUG